ensembl:lncRNA
GGAGCUUUCUACUGAGCCACGUAGAAUUCAUUUCCCUCUGUCACAGGGCUUGCAGGGCAGCAUAGGUCUGGAAGUCACGUGCUGAGCAUUGCCAGGGUCCUGCUUUUUUAGCAGAGUUGUGAUUCAGUCUGAAAGCCUUUAAAGCUGCAUGGGAUUCCAUGCUGCUGCUGUGGGUGUGUUGUGAUGGGAUGUUGCAGGCGAAGGGCCUUUCACGUGGUGUUGCUCACGUGUUGUUUGUCUGCAGACACCACCUAAGGAUGGAAAUGACUCCAGGGAGGGCUUUGCUGUGUGGGCUGAAAGCUGGGCUGAGUGAGUGUGUGAAAUGAGGGCACAGUGCGGCUUGGGCAAGCCAGUGCAGUGCCCUCCUGAACCCGCAGCGUUGUGGGCCUGUUAGGUGGCACGAGGCCUGCAUAGCAAUAGAAACGAUCUUCAGCAGCAGCCGGUGGGUGCCAGGCUCUUUUAAUGUGACUUCUUCUGACCUUUCCAGUGCAAGCCCUUGAUCAAAAUGUGCAUUUGUGCGUUGGGCCAUCAGUAAAGCCAGAAUUCCCUGCUUGCCCUGAGGCGAUGCUGUGCUGUCCCGGUCACCCUCCAGCUCUGUACCAAAUGCUGAACUCCCAUUGUCCUGAGGGCUGCACGGCAAAGCCCAGAGCUCUCUUGAUGCCAACAGCGAGUGAAGAAAGCCUCAUUGGCCUGGUGCUCCCAUCCAGCAAUGGGAACUCCUGGAGGGCUGGUGUCCCUGCAGGCUUAGCUGGGAACAGGUCUCGAUCUGUCAGGCUGCUGUUAGGCAGCUGCGUAUCUUGGCUCUCUCCUCUACAGACCACUGUAAAGUAAUGCAUCCCUAUGAAGCACUUACUGUGGUGACGCCAAGUCAAGAAAUUAGGUUUUGCAUUUUGGCUUAAAUCCUGCAAGCAGUUGUGUGAGUAACUCGGGCAUGUAGGCAGCCACGGGGAGCUCAGUGCGGAGUGUGCAGUCCCAUGCUUGUGCUCUGGGGCUCAGGUAAGGGCAGCAGUCAGUGCUGUGCUGGGGAUUUCAGCUGAGGGGGUGGACGUUUCCUAUGCUUCCCACUUUGAGCAACAGAGAUACAGUCCUCUGGAUGGACCUAUUGGAGUGUGCUCAGAGGAGGGCUGCAAAAAUGAUCCAGGGGAUGGAGCACCUCCCCUACGAGGACAGUCUGAGAGCUGGGGCUGUUCGGCCUGGAGGAGAGAAGCUCCAGGGAGACCUGAGAGCGGCCUUUCGGUACCUGAGGGGGGCUGUAAGAAGGAAGGGGACAGAUUCUGCAGCAGGGUCUGUUGCGACAGGACCAGGGGAAAUGGUUUCAAACUAAAAGAGGGAAGAUUUACACUGGAUGUAAGGAAGCAGUUUUUUUACAGUAAGGGUGGUAGGUGAACAGGGUGCCCAGAGAGGUGGUGGCUGUCCUGUGGAGAUACUCAAAAGUCAGGCUGGAUGGGGCUCUGAGCACCUGAUCUAGCUGUAGGUGUCUCUGCUCAUUGCAGGGGGUUGGACUACAUGGCCUUAAAAGGUCCCUUCCAACUCAGGUGAUUCCAUGAUUCUAAGCAGAUGGCAGCUGAGAUCCCACAGAGGACCAGGCUGUCCAGUCAAAUGUCCAGCUUUUUCUCUCUUGCUGUUCCUCUUUUUUCUUGCUGAUCUCCACCCUGCUGUAUCUCUGGAAUAGUUCUUGGCUUGCUGAGAAUGCUCCGUGCUGAACGCAGCUGGGUGCUAUCACUUACGUGGGGCAUUACCAGUGCUGCCCAGCACGCUUCUCUUUGGGAUUACAGCCCUAUUAGAUGUCUGCCUUCCAUGCCCUGACAACCAUUAAGUGAGGGAAGGUUGGGGCUGGUAGAGCCGAUUCUGUUGCUGUGUUAUCUGAAUAGCACCGAACCCACCAGAUGAAGGCUGGGAAUUAGACAUAAAGUUAACAUAAAAUAGUUCAGCAUUUCACACAACACAAUUCAGAAACUGCAGUAGCCAUCACUGUGACCUUUGCUAAGGAACGUGGAGUUACGUUUCCCAUUGGUGUGAACAGCCUGCACCGCUGGGCUGGUUCUGGGGAAGCACUUGUGCUGUGAUUGUAUAACCAGUUAAUCAGGUGGUGACUCAUAGCCCUGUCCUGGGCUGGGCAGAGGGCGAUCUGUGAGCCCUGCAGGAGUGCGGCUGCCUGGUGGGAGAACCUCGUCCAAAAGAUGGAGUUUUUCAGUUUAGGGGAGCUGAGCCCCACUUGGUUUGGAGCACCCUCAAAAUAGAACAGAAACAGUGGCAAAAGGUGGAGACAAAGCAUUGAGAUCCUGAGCUGGGAAAGCCCGCUAACCUCAACUCAGCCCAAUAAAAGAGUCCCAAAGGUUUCAUGGGAGGAGAGCUGACAGCGAGAGCUUCUCUCCAGGGAGUUCUGGGUGGGGAUGACAAAGAAGGCACGCUAAUGCCUCAGAUUUCUGAGCUCUGUACAAUCUCUGCAACUAAAAUAAUAAAGCUUUUACCAUCCAGACAUCUGUGUAAAGUUUCCUUCUGCUUGCUGAUGGUGCCCACAGCUGCUGGGCUGCACUUUAUUCACUUCAGGGUACGUGGAACAUAUGCAAAGAAAAGCUGUUUCCUGGCUUUGCGAUAGAAGCUUUCAGAUCCAACUUGAUUUUGCUUAACGCCAUCAGAGAGCAAAUAAACCACCCCUAUGGAUGGAUACAGGCUUUGCCAUGAUCGCACUGUCACUAAAACGGGUUUGUUGGGAAUCGUCUGUAAAUGGGCAGUAAUUGGAACCCCUCUUACUCUGCUCAUGACGUGGUGCAGGCGUGUGCUGGAGGCGACGUGAGGCUCCCACUGAAUGCAGCUGCUGCAGAGACUCUCAU